GGAAUCGCCCAGCUGUCCCCUCAGACGGCAGCCCGUGGCCGUCCCCUUCGCCGUGGGAUGCGGGGAUUUGGGGCGGCUGAAGGAGUCGGGGCCCCCACCACCGCUAGCGCUGCUGCCCUCACAGGGGCCGGGCCCCCCCGAGCCUCCAGUGCUUGUUGAGGUUUCAGUCUGCAGUCUGCUGAUCCGAAAGAAAGAAGGCGGCUUUUGGAGGACUUGAUCAUUGCGAGUCGAGCUGCUGCUGAACCUCCCCUUCCAACAUCCAGCAGGUUUGUUCUGCAGGCCCCGGUGAUGGCACAGGCAUGAAAGAGCCCAGAGCUCGUCGCUGGGGAGAGGCUGCGUAUGGCGUUGUGAAGGGAGAGAUGGAGGAGGGGUUUGAGCAGCGCUGUGCAGGAAUGAACGGCUGGUAAGAGAAGAGGCAGGAGUCGGGCAGCGGUACUGCAGUGGGGAGCCCCACAGUCCCCAGCAGCACCCCAUGUCCCCCACUGGACAUGGGAAUUCUCCUAUUCCAUUCCACGGAAUCCUCCUAUUUCCUCCCUCAGAGCUCCUUUACACCUCCAAGAUCCCCCCUGGGAACUCACUGAUCCCCAUGGUCCCUGACAGGACCCCAUCACCAUCCCAGGACCCUCGUAGCCCACCUUUGGCCUCUCCUCUUCCUGACCUGCCUGCAGAUCCCGUACAACCUCACAGUGCUGUGGCAUGGAUGGCUUCUGCAGGUGAGGAAUGAGGAGCUGGAGAAGGUGUAGGGCACAGAUGUGGGUCACAGAAAGUGAAGUGGGCGGCACUGGGGAUACUGGGGAACACGGAUCAGAACAUGGGAGGAUUUGGGAAGGAUAAGGGGAUGUGGACCACAGCCUACAGGAGCAGAGUGCUUCACAGGAGAAGGCUUCCAAGGUUCCCCCUUGGCUGUGCACUGCAGGCUCACAGUCUCCACCACACAUCCGCUGUGCAGUUUUUCCAGAGGAGGUCUAUGGCCAACGUGUUCCUUUCGGGCUGAUUGUGUGCUUUUCUAUGCAGACAGGCAGGCAGGCAGGAUUUCUUGCAGCUGUUGCACGUGCUGGGUCUCAUGCUCCGUCCUGCAGCUGUGCCUUAUCUCGUGUGCACUCUCCACCUCCCCCUGGUCAGAACGUCCUGGCCCUGCUGUGCUCUGCUCAGCAUCUAUCUGCUGCACAAUGACACAGCUGUCACACUGAGCCUGCCUUGUGCUAUCCCUGCAGAUGUUCCAUGAUUUCCUCUGCCACUGUCCCACUCGUAACUGCUCGGGUGAUUUCCAGCAGCACACAGCUGGCACACAGAGCCAUGCUGACCACGGCAGGGUGCAGCUCCUUGUUGCAGUCCCGUAGCGGUGGGUGGCCGUGCCAAAGGGGGAUCCCACCGCUGCUCUCUAUCCUUCUGCGCUCGUUCUGCACCACCGUGCAUUCCUUCCUUCUCGUGCUGCGCUGCCCUCAGAGUGCUCUGCCCAUUUCUCGGGGUCGUUGCAGCAGCUGCUGCAAGUGCUGAUGUUGGAGCAGUUUCUUCCCCACCGCGAGAUCCCCUCCAAGAGGCACUGCCCCUACUGCUGCAAUGGCCCCACUCUCAAACUUCCUUUUGUAAUAAGGUGUGUUAUUAGUUCUGUAGCUGACUUGGAUUUCUUCUGCCGCUGUCCUGUGAAGGAGUUGAUUUGCUUCAGUCCAUCCCUGCCCCGUUCCUGGCUCGGGUGUCCCUCAUGGCCACGCAGCACCACAGCAGCCAAGCUCCAAUCCCUUCCCCGGUCUCAGUGGGAUCAGUUUGUUCUGUUCUCAUCCACUUACAGAAACAGAAGCUACCAACCCACCAAACCCUGCGACAGGUAUUUCCCUACAGAAGCAUUCAUGUCCUUCUGCUGGCCCCUUUGGCCAGUUCCCAGCUCUCCAAACUGAGGCGUACACUGCAGCCCCCCCCAUGGCUUCUUUCUGGCAGCUGUGGCGCAGCCCCACCCCGAGGAGGAGAUGCCUUUUCCCCACAUGCAGCUGGUUCUAUGGCCACAUGGGGUGAAGACGUGGGGUUGUGGGUCACAUGGGGGUCCUGCAGCAUCACAGAGUUACGGGGUGAUAUGGGGCUAUGGGGUCAGAUGGGGUUCUGAAUCACAGUGAUAGGGUCAGAUUGGAUGGUAGGGACAGAUGGGGUGACAUGGAGUUACGGAUCACAUGGGUUGUAUGGUCGGGGUGAGGUGGGGGCAGGGAUCCCAGAGUUAUGGGCCCACAUGGCGUCGGGUCACAGCGUGAUGGAGGCAGGCAGAGUCAGGGCGUCACAGGAUCAUGUGGGGGUAUGGUUCCCCCAGGGCUGUGGGUCACGUGCAGCCAUGGGGUCAUGCACAUAAAGGGCGAUGAGGUCAUCUUGGUUUAUGGCUCAUGUGGGGUAACGGCUCAGGGCCCCACCUUUGGGCCACAGGGACGCCCAGUCCCCUCUCAGGAUGAAAUGAAACCACUGCAAACUCUGCCCCCCCCCCCUCUUUU